rnacentral:pre_miRNA from 1 species
GUAUCACCUUGAGUUCUUUUCAAGCACUUCAUGUGGCACUAUUUCAUUUUCAAUGCUUGCUGUGAAGUGUUUGGGGGAACUCUCGAUGUCAC